rnacentral:rRNA from 1 species
AUUGAACGCUGGCGGCAGGCCUAACACAUGCAAGUCGAACGAGUGGCGGACGGGUGAGUAAUGUCUGGGAAACUGCCUGAUGGAGGGGGAUAACUACUGGAAACGGUAGCUAAUACCGCAUACCAUCAGAUGUGCCCAGAUGGUAUUAGCUUGUUGGUGGGGUAACGGCUCACCAAGGCUACGAUCCCUAGCUGGUCGGAGAGGAUGACCAGCCACACUGGAACUGGAACACGGUCCAGACUCCUACGGGAGGCGGCAGUGGGGAAACUUGCACAAUGGGCGCACGCCUGAGCAAGCCAUGCCGGGUGUAUGAAGAAGGCCUUCGGGUUGUAAAGUACUUUCAGCGGGGAGGCGUUACCCGCAGAAGAAGCACCGGCUAACUCCGUGCCAGCCGCCGCGGUAAUAC